UUCCUAGUCAACAACAGAAUGACUUCACUACUGAUGAAGGUACCUAGAGAACUGAAGUGUCUGAAGUGGAUCAAAGGAUUGAUGAACGUGUAUUGUAAGUGAGUUCUGCAAGGGCACAGAAUACCUGGAACACUGCCAUGUCUCUUACUGCCCUCAGCUGACAGAUGAAGCUGUGAAAAAAUUGGCAUUUUACUGCCACAGACCGGCAUCUAUCAACACAGUGGGUUGCCCAAAGAGAAUGUUAUUAUUCCAGUGGUAUCACCUACUCAGAUGUGUGUUCAGGCAGAUGCUGAUACACUAAAGCAAGUGUGGA
rnacentral:lncRNA from 12 species